CAUUUGGGUAUAUACUAGCUGUGUUUGUGCCUUCACUCAUGGUCCAGACUUUUUUCAAAAAGGACAUGGAGUUUGUCUGCAGCGAGCGUUUUGGUAGAAACUGCGCCUCCCAUUCAUUAUAAUGGUAAAUGACCACAGACAAGUGCGCACACCAUCUUUGGACCUUUAGUGUGACGCGAUCGGGAGGGGUAGGUGGUCGCGCUGGGAGCGGCGCGACACGGCUCGGGCCCGCCAGUGCCCCAACGGGGCCCUAGUCUUCUUUUUCCUCCCCUUUGAACUGGAAAAAAACUCACUUCCCACUGGCGAAAACUCAUGAAAUUUGGCAGGACGACCGGGCCUGGUGAAAAAUUCGAUAUGCUGAAGUCGCCGAAACAAUAAAAUGCAAAAUGGCUCCAUAGCGCCCCCUAAGGUGAAAAUUCACACUAUUGACUGUCACGCCUGUAUGCUUUGUCAUAUUGACACAAAAAUUGACACACACAUGUAUCGCAAUAAGAUCUACAAAAAAGUCAGUGCGGGCGUAUCUGUCAAAUGUAUGGUUAAAGGGUUAUUCCGCAUUUUUUGCCGAUCCGCACACAUUGGAAUUUCGCUAACUCCUCCAAAGGCUUUCGUUCCACCAGCACCACAUUUGCUCAGGCCAAUCUACACCCCAUGGCCAUUAAAAGUUGUACAAAUCAUGACGCUGCACCCCACGGUUUAGGUUCUAGGGGGCGCCAAAGAUAACCCAAAAAUCCACAUUCUUAAAACUCUUAUAACUUUUUAGGGCCCGAGCCAGCUGCAGAGCAGCCGGGCGUAGAGCCCUAUUAUUCCUGUAUAGGUUUUUUAGGGCCCGAGCGUAGCUGCUAAGCAGCUGCGAGAGCCCUCUUGUUCCUGAUGGAUUCUUCUUUCGUUAUUUUUCCUCCGCUUUAAACUGGAAAAUGGCCCACUUCCCACUGGCGAAAACUCAGGAAAUUUGGCAGGACGACCGGGCCUGGUGAAAAAUUUGAUAUUCUGAAGUCGCCCAAACAAAAAAAUGAAAAAUGGCUCCAUAGCGCCCCCUAUGGUGAAAACUCACCUGACACCUGUACGCUUUGUCAAAAUGACACAAAAUUUGACACACAUGUGUAUCUCAAUAAGAUCUACAAAAAAGUCAGUGCGGGCGUAUCUGUCAAAUGUACGGUUAAAGGGCUAUUUCGCAUUUUUUGCCGAUCCGCACACAUUGGAAUUUCGCUAACUCCUCCGAAGGCUUUCGUUCCACCGGCACCAAAUUUGCUCAGGCCAAUCUACACCCCAUGGCCAUUAAAAGUUGUACAAAUCAUGACGCUGCACCCCACGGUUUAUGUUCUAGGGGGUGCCAAAGAUAACCCAAAAAUCCACAUUCUUAAAAGUCUUAUAACUUUUUAUUGUUGUCCUCACUGGCCUCCAAGUUUUCUAGGAUGAUGCUAUGUCCAGCCAUCAACACAUGUGUGAAGGAAUUUUUACUCCCUAAAAGAGCGCCCCCCCAUGGCAGGAGAAAAAAGUCAAGUUUUUCUUGUCCCCUAACAUGAAAAUACACAUUGUUGAGUGUCACGCCUAAACGCUUUGUCAUAUUGACACAAAAAUUGACACACACGUGUAUCUCAAUAAGAUCUACGAAAAAGUCAAAGAGCGCGUAUCUGUAUAAUGUACGGUUAAAGGUUUAUUUCGCAUUUUUUGCCGAUCCGCACACAUUGGAAUUUCGCUAACUCCUCCGAAGGCUUUCGUUCCACCGGCACCAAAUUUGCUCAGGCCAAUCUACACCCCAUGGCCAUUAAAAGUUGUAAAAAUCAUGACGCUGCACCCCACGGUUUAGGUUCUAGGGGGCGCCAAAGAUAACCCUAAAAUCCACAUAUUUAAAAGUCUUAUAACUUUUUAUUUUUGUCCUCACUGGCCUCCAAGUUUUCUAGGAUGAUGCAAUGUCCAGCCAUCAACACAUUUGUGAAGGAAUUUUUACUCCCCAAAAGAGCGCCCCCCCCAUGGCAGGAGAAAAAAGUCAAUUUUUUCUUGUCCCCUAAGGUGAAAAUACACAUUGUUGAGUGUCACGCCUGAACUCUUUGUCAUAUUGACACAAAAAUUGACAAUCAUGUGUAUCUCAAUUAGAUCUACGAAAAAGUCAAAGAGCGCGUAUCUGUAUAAUGUACGGUAAAAGGGCUAUUUUGCAUUUUUUGCCGAUUCGCACACAUUGGAAUUUCGCUAACUCCGAAGGCUUUCGUCCCACUGACACCAUAGUUGCUCAGGCCAAUCUACAACCCAUGGCCAUUCAAAGUUGUACAAAUCAUGACGCUGCACCCCACGGUUUAGGUUCUAGGGGGCGCCAAAGAUAACCCAAAAAUCCACAGUCUUAAAAGUCUUAUAACUUUUUAUUUUUGUCCUCACUGGCCUCCAAGUUCUCUAGGAUGAUGCAAUGUCCAGCCAUCAACACAUUUGUGAAGGAAUUUUUACUCCCCAAAAGAGCGCCCCCCCAUGGCAGGAGAAAAAAGUCCAUUUUUUCUUGUCCCCCAAGGCGAAAAUACACAUUGUUUAAUGUCACGCCUGUACGCUUUGUCAUAUUGACACAAAAUUUGACAAUCACGUGCAUCUCAAUAAGAUCUACGAAAAAGUCAAUGCGCGCGUAUCUGUAAAAUGUACGGUUAAAGGGCUUUUUCGCAUUUUUUGCAGAUUCGCACACAUUGGAAUGUGGCUUAGUCCUCCUAAGGCUUUCGUCCCACUGACACCAAAUUUGCUCAGGCCAAUCUACACCCCAUGGCCAUUCAAAGUUGUAAAAAUCAUGACGCUGCACCCCACGGUCUACGUUCUAGGGGGCGCCAAAGAGGACCCAAACUUCCACAUUUUUAAAAGUCUUAUAACUUUUUAUUUUUGUGCUCACUGGCCUCCAAGUUUUCUAGGAUGAUGCAAUGUCCAGCCAUCAACACAUUUGUGAAGGAAUUUUUACUCCCCAAAAGAGCGCCCCCCCAUGGCAGGAGAAAAAGUCAAGUUUUUCCUGCCCAUCGCUCAAUGGCUCAAAUGUAUCGCUCUCUCGGCAAAACCGAAAGGAGGAGCAACUUGCCAUUUGGAUAUAUACUAGCUGUGUUUGUGCCCUCACUCAUGGUCCAGACUUUUUUCAAAAAGGACAUGGAGUUUGUCUGCAGCGAGCGUUUUGGUAGAAACUGCGCCUCCCAUUCAUUAUAAUGGUAAAUGACCACAGACAAGUGCGCACACCAUCUUUGGACCUUGAGUGUGACGCGAUCGGGAGGGGUAGGCGGUCGCACUGGGGGCGGCGCGACACGGCUCGGGCCCGCCAGUGCCCCACCGGGGCCCUAGUCUUUCUUCUUUCUUUCUUUCUUUCUUUCUUCUUAUUUUUCCUCCCCUUUGAAGGGGAAAAUGGCCCACUUCCCACUGGCGAAAACUCAUGAAAUUUGGCAGGACGACCGGGCCUGGUGAAAAAUUCGAUAUUCUGAAGUCGCCCAAACAAUAAAAUGCAAAAUGGCUCCAUAGCGCCCCCUAAGGUGAAAAUUCACACUAUUGACUGUCACGCCUGUACGCUUUGUCAUAUUGACACAAAAAUUGACACACACGUGUAUCUCAAUACGGUCUACGAAAAAGUCAGCGCGGGCGCAUCUGUGAAAUGUACGGUUAGAGGGUUAUUUCGCAUUUUUUGCCGAUCUGCACACAUUGGAAUUUCGCUAACUCCUCCGAAGGCAUUCGUUCCACCGGCACCACAUUUGCUCAGGCCAAUCUACACCCCAUGGCCAUUGAAAGUUGUACAAAUCAUGACGCUGCACCCCACGGUUUACGUUCUAGGGGGCGCCAAAGAUAACCCAAAAAUCCACAGUCUUAAAAGUCUUAUAACUUUUUAUUUUUGUCCUCACUGGCCUCCAAGUUCUCUAGGAUGAUGCAAUGUCCAGCCAUCAACACAUUUGUGAAGGAAUUUUUACUCCCCAAAAGAGCGCCCCCACAUGGCAGGAGAAAAAAGUCCAAUUUUUCUUGUCCCCUAAGGUGAAAAUACACAUUGUUGAGUGUCACGCCUAUACGCUUUGUUAUAUUGACCCAAAAUUUGACAAUCACGUGUAUCUCAAUAAGAUCUACGAAAAAGUCAAUGGGCACGUAUCUGUAAAAUGUACGGUUAAAGGGUUAUUUCGCAUUUUUUGCCGAUCCGCAGACAUUGGAAUUUCGCUUACUCCUCCGAAGGCUUUAGUUCCACCGCCACCAAAUUUGCUCAGGCCAAUCUACACCCCAUGGCCAUUAAAAGUUGUACAAAUCAUGACGCUGCACUCCACGGUUUAGGUUCUAGGGGGCGCCAAAGAUAACCCAAAAAUCCACAUUCUUAAUAGUCUUAUAACUUUUUAUUUUUGUCCUCACUGGCCUCCAAGUUUUCUAGGAUGAUGCAAUGUCCAGCCAUCAACACAUUUGUAAAGGAAUUUUUACUCCCGAAAAGAGCGCCCCCCCAUGGCAGGAGAAAAAAGUCCAUUUUUUCUUGUCCCCUAAGGUGAAAAAACACAUUGUUGACUGUCACGCCUAUACGCUUUGUCAAAAUGACACAAAAUUUGACACACACGUGUAUCUCAAUAAGAUCUACGAAAAAGUCAAUGGGCACGUAUCUGUAAAAUUUACGGUUAAAGGGCUAUUUCGCAUUUUUUGCCGAUUCGCACACAUUGGAAUGUGGCUAACUCCUCCUAAGGCUUUCUUCCCACCGACACCAAAUUUGCUCAAGCCGAUCUACAUCCCAUGGCCAUUCAAAGUUGUAAAAAUCAUGACGCUGCACCCCACGGUUUAGGUUCUAGGGGGCGCCAAAGAUAACCCUAAAAUCCACAUAUUUAAAAGUCUUAUAACUUUUUAUUUUUGUCCUCACUGGCCUCCAUGUUUUCUAGGAUGAUGCAAUGUCCAGCCAUCAACACAUUUGUGAAGGAGUUUUUUCUCGUUAAAAGAGCACCCCCCCAUGGCAGGAGAAUAAAGUCAAUUUUUUCCUGUUCAUCAUUCAAUGGCUCAAACGCACUGCUCUCUCGGCAAAAGCGAAAGGAGGAGCAACUUGCCAUUUGGAUAUAUCUUAGCUGUGUUUGUGCCCUCACUCAUGGUCCAGACUUUUUUCAAAUAGGACAUGGAGUUUUUCUGCAGCGAGCGUUUUGGUAGAAACUGCGCCUCCCGUUCAUUAUAAUGGUAAAUGACCACAAACAAGUGCGCACACCAUCUUUGGACCUUGAGUGUGACGCGAUCGGGUGGGGGAGGCGGUCGCGCUGAGGGCGGCGUGACAUGGCUCGGGCCCGCCAGUGCCCCAACGGGGCCCUAGUUAUUUUUGUCCUCACUGGCCUCCAAGUUCUCUAGGAUGAUGCAAUGUCCAGCAAUUAACACAUUUGUGAAGGAAUUUUUACUUGCCAAAAGAGCGCCCCCCCAUGGCAGGAGAAAAAAGUCCAUUUUUUCUUGUCCCCUAAGGCGAAAAUACACAUUGUUGAGUGUCACGCCUGUACGCUUUGUCAUAUUGACACAAGAUUUGACAAUCAAGUGUAUCUCAAUAAGAUCUACGAAAAAGUCAAUGUGCACGUAUCUGUAAAAUGUACGGUUAAAGGGCUAUUUCGCAUUUUUCGCCGAUUAGCACACAUUGGAAUGUGGCUAACUCCUCCUAAAGCUUUCGUCCCACUGACACCACAUUUGCUCAGGCAAAUCUACACCCCAUGGCCAUUCAAAGUUGUACAAAUCAUGACGCUGCACCCCACGGUUUACGUUCUAGGGGGCGCCAAAGAGGACCCAAAUAUCCACAUUUUUAAAAGUCCUAUAACUUUUUAUUUUUGUCUUCACUGGCCUCCAAGUUUUCUAGGAUGAUGCAAUGUCCAGCCAUCAACACAUUUGUGAAAGAAUUUUUUCUCCCCAAAAGAGCGCCCCAUGGCAGGAGAAAAAGUCAAGUUCUUCCUGCCCAUCGCUCAAUGGCUCAAACGCAUCGCUCUCUUGGCAAAACCGAAAGGAGGAGCAACUUGCCAUGUGGAUAUAUCGAAGCUGUGUUUGUGCCCUCACUCAUGGUCCAGACUUUUUUCAAAAAGGACAUGGAGUUCGUCUGCAGCGAGCAUUUUGGUAGAAACCGCGCCUCCCAUUCAUUAUAAUGGUAAAUGACCACAGACAAGUGCGCACACCAUCUUUGGACCUUGAGUGUGACGCGAUCGGGAGGGGUAGGCGGUCGCGCUGGGGGCGGCGCGACACGGCUCGGGCCCACCAGUGCCCCACCGGGGCCCUAGUUAGGGCCCGAGCCAGCUGCAGAGCAGCCGGGCGUAGGCCCUAUUAUUCCCCAAGUGGUUUUUCUUUGUUUCUUUCUUUAGGGCCCGAGCGUAGCUGCUAAGCAGCUGCGAGAGCCCUAUUAUUCCCCAAGUGGUUUUUCUUUGUUUCUUUCUUUCUUUCUUUCUUCUUUUUCCUCCCCUUUGAACUGGAAAAUGGCCCACUUCCCACUGGCGAAAACUCAUGAAAUUUGGCAGGAUGACCGGGCCUGGUGAAAAAUUUGAUAUUCCGAAGUCGCCCAAUCAAGAAAAUGCAAAAUGGCUCCAUAGCGCCCCCUAAGGUGAAAAUUCACACUAUUGACUGUCACGCCUUUACGCUUUGUCAAAAUGACACAAAAAUUGACACACAUAUGUAUCUCAAUAAGAUCUACAAAAAAGUCAGUGCAGGCGUAUCUGUCAAAUGUACGGUUAAAGGGUUAUUCCGCAUUUUUUGCCGAUCCACACACAUUGGAGUUUCGCUAACUCCUCCGAAGGCUUUCUUUCCACUGGCACCACAUUUGCUCAGGCCAAUCUACACCCCAUGGCCAUUAAAAGUUAUUCAAAUCAUGACGCUGCACCCCACGGUUUAGGUUCUAGGGGGCGCCAAAGAUAACCCUAAAAUCCACAUAUUUAAAAGUCUUAUAACUUUUUACUUUUGCCCUCACUGGCCUCCAAGUUUUCUAGGAUGAUGCAAUGUCCAGCCAUCAACACAUUUGUGAAGGAAUUUUUACUCCCCAAAAGAGCGCCCCCCCAUGGCCGGAGAAAAAAGUCCAUUUUUUCUUGUCCCCUAAGGUGAAAAAACACAUUGUUGAGUGUCACGCCUGUACGCUUUGUCAUAUUGACACAAAAUUUGACACACACAUGUAUCUCAAUAAGAUCUACGAAAAAGUCAACGCGCGCGUAUCUGUCAAAUGUACGGUUAAAGGGUUAUUCCGCAUUUUUUGCUGAUCCGCACACAUUGGAAUUUCGCUAACUCCUCCUAAGGCUGGCGUUCCACCGGCACCACAUUUGCUCAGGCCAAUCUACACCCCAUGGCCAUUAAAAGUUAUUCAAAUCAUGACGCUGCACCCCACGGUUUAGGUUCUAGGGGGCGCCAAAGAUAACCCUAAAAUCCACAUAUUUCAAAGUCUUAUAACUUUUUAUUUUUGUCCUCACUGGCCUCCAAGUUUUCUAGGAUGAUGCAAUGUCCAGCCAUCAACACAUUUGUGAAGGAAUUUUUACUCCCCAAAAGAGCGCCCCCCCAUGGCAGGAAAAAAAAAUUCAAUUUUUUCUUGUCCCGUAAGGUGAAAAUUCACAUUGUUGAGUGUGACACCUGUACGCUUUGUCAUAUUGACACAAAAUUUGACAAUCACGUGUAUCUCAAUAAGAUCUACGAAAAAGUCAAUGGGUGCGUAUCUGUCAAAUGUACAGUUAGAGGGCUAUUUUGCAUUUUUUGCCGAUUCGCACACAUUGGAAUGUGGCUAACUCCUCCUAAGGCUUUCGUCCCACUGAAACCAAAUUUGCUCAGGCCAAUCUACACCCCAUGGCCAUUCAAAGUUUUAAAAAUCAUGACGCUGCACCCCACGGUUUACGUUCUAGGGGGCGCCAAAGAUGACCAAAAAAUCCACAUUCUUAAAAGAAUCCACAUUCUCCCCCCCCCCAUGGCAGGAGAAAAAGUCAAGUUUUUCCUGCCCAUCGCUCAAUGGCUCAAUCGCAUCGCUCUCCAGGCAACACCGUAACGAGGAGCAACCUGCCAUUUGGAUAUAUCCCAGCUGUGUUUGUGCCCUCACUCAUGGUCCAGACUUUUUUCAAAUAGGACAUGAAGUUUGUCUGCAGCGAGUGUUUUGGUAGAAACUGCGCCUCCCAUUCAUUAUAAUGGGAAAUGACCACAGACAAGUGCGCACACCAUCUUUGGACCUUGAGUGUGACGCGAUCGGGAGGGGGAGGCGGUCACGCUGGGGGCGGCACGACGCGGCUCGGGCCCGACAGUGCCCCACCGGGGCCCUAGUUAGGGCCCGAGCGUAGUUGCUAAGCAGCUGCGAGAGCCCUCUUGUUCCUGAUGGAUUCUUCUUUUGUUAUUAGGGCCCGAGCGUAGCUGCUAAGCAGCUGCGAGAGCCCUAUUAUUCCUGAUGGAUUCUUCUUUCUUCUUCUUCUUCUUAUUAUUUUUCUGCCCCUUUGAACUGGAAAAUGGCCCACUUCCCACUGGUGAAAAGUCAUGAAAUUUGGCAGGACGACCGGGCCUGGUGAAAAAUUCGAUAUUCUGAAGUCGCCCAAAAAAUCAAAUGCAAAAUGGCUCCAUAGCGCCCCCUAAGGUGAAAAAUUCACAUGAUUGAGUGUCACGCCUGUACGCUUUGUCAAAAUGACACAAAAUUUGACACACACGUGUAUCUCAAUAAGAUCUACAAAAAAGUCAGGCGGGCGUAUCUGUCAAAUGUACGGUUAAAGGGCUAUUUCGCAUUUUUUGCCGAUCCGCACACAUUGGAAUUUCGCUAACUCCUCCGAAGGCUUUUGUUCCACCGGCACCAAAUUUGCUCAGGCCAAUCUACACCCCAUGGCCAUUAAAAGUUGUACAAAUCAUGACGCUGCAUCCCACGGUUUACGUUCUAGGGGGCGCCAAAGAUAACCCAGAAAUCCACAUUCUUAAAAGUCGUAUAACUUUUUAUUUUUGUCCUCACUGGCCUCCAAGUUUUCUAGGAUGAUGCAAUGUCCAGCCAUCAACACAUUUGUGAAGGAAUUUUUACUCCCCAAAAGAGCGCCCCCCCAUGGCAGGAGAAAAAAGUCCAUUUUUUCUUGUCUCCUAAGGCGAAAAUUCACACUAUUGACUGUCACGUCUUUACGCUUUGUCAUAUUGACACAAAAAUUGACACACACAUGUAUCUCAAUAAGAUCUACAAAAAAGUCAGUGCGGGCGUAUCUGUCAAAUGUACAGUGAAAGGGCUAUUUCGCAUUUUUUGCCGAUCCGCACACAUUGGAAUUUCGCUAACUCCUCCGAAGGCUUUCGUUCCACCGGCACCACAUUUGCUCAGGCCAAUCUACACCCCAUGGCCAUUAAAAGUUGUACAAAUCAUGACGCUGCACCCCACGGUUUACGUUCUAGGGGGCGCCAAAGAUAACCCAAAAAUCCACAGUCUUAAAAGUCUUAUAACUUUUUAUUUUUGUCCUCACUGGCCUCCAAGUUCACUAGGAUGAUGCAAUGUCCAGCCAUCAACACAUUUGUGAAGGAAUUUUUACUCGCCAAAAGAGCGCCCCCCCAUGGCAGGAGAAAAAAGUCCAUUUUUUCUUGUCUCCUAAGGCGAAAAUACACAUUGUUGACUGUCACGCCUUUACGCUUUGUCAAAAUGACACAAAAUUUGACACACACAUGUAUCUCAAUAAGAUCUACAAAAAAGUCAGUGCGGGCGUAUCUGUCAAAUGUACGGUUAAAGGGUUAUUUCGCAUUUUUUGCCGAUCCGCACACAUUGGAAUUUCGCUAACUCCUCCGAAGGCUUUCGUUCCACCGGCACCACAUUUGCUCAGGCCAAUCUACACCCCAUGGCCAUUAAAAGUUGUACAAAUCAUGACGCUGCACCCCACGGUUUACGUUCUAGGGGGCGCCAAAGAGGACCCAAAUAUCCACAUUUUUAAAAGUCUUAUAACUUUUUAUUUUUGUCCUCACUGGCCUCCAAGUUUUCUAGGAUGAUGCAAUGUCCAGCCAUCAACACAUUUGUGAAGGAAUUUUUUCUCCCCAAAAGAGCGCCCCCCCAUGGCAGGAGAAAAAGUCAAGUUUUUCCUGCCCAUCGCUCAAUGGCUCAAACACAUCGCUCUCUCUGCAAAACCGAAAGGAGGAGCAACUUGCCAUUUGGAUAUAUACUAGCUGUGUUUGUGCCCUCACUCAUGGUCCAGACUUUUUUCAAAUAGGACAUGUAGUUUGUCUGCAGCGAGCGUUUUGGUAGAAACUGCGCCUCCCAUUCAUUAUAAUGGGAAAUGACCUCAGACAAGUGCGCACACCAUCUUUGGACCUUGAGUGUGACGCGAUCGGGAGGGGGAGGCGGUCGCGCUGGGGGCGGCGCGACGCGGCUCGGGCCCGACAGUGCCCCACCGGGGCCCUAGUUAUUAGGGCCCGAGCCAGCUGCAGAGCAGCCGGGCGUAGAUUCCUAUUAUUCCUGUAUAGGUUUUUCUUUCUUCUUUCUUUCUUUCUUUCUUUCUUCUUAUUUUUCCUCCCCUUUGAAGGGGAAAAUGGCCCACUUCCCACUGGCGAAAACUCAUGAAAUUUGGCAGGACGACCGGGCCUGGUGAAAAAUUCGAUAUUCUGAAGUCGCCCAAACAAUAAAAUGCAAAAUGGC